GUGGGGAAUCUUGCGCAAUGGGCGAAAGCCUGACGCAGCCAUGCCGCGUGAAUGAUGAAGGUCUUAGGAUUGUAAAAUUCUUUCACCGGGGACGAUAAUGACGGUACCCGGAGAAGAAGCCCCGGCUAACUUCGUGCCAGCAGCCGCGGUAAUACGAAGGGGGCUAGCGUUGCUCGGAAUUACUGGGCGUAAAGGGCGCGUAGGCGGACAGUUUAGUCAGAGGUGAAAGCCCAGGGCUCAACCUUGGAAUUGCCUUUGAUACUGGCUGUCUUGAGUACGGGAGAGGGGAGUGGAACUCCGAGUGUAGAGGUGAAAUUCGUAGAUAUUCGGAAGAACACCAGUGGCGAAGGCGACUCACUGGCCCGUUACUGACGCUGAGGCGCGAAAGCGUGGGGAGCAAACAGGAUUAGAAACCCCUGUAGUCC
rnacentral:rRNA from 1 species